rfam:Felis catus isolate Cinnamon breed Abyssinian chromosome E3, whole genome shotgun sequence.
GCCUGGGUGGCUCAGUUGGUUAAGUGUCUGACUUCAGCUCAGGUCAUGAUCUCACCGUCCAUGAGUUCGAGCCCCAUGUCAGGCU